GAGAGAGAGAGAGAGAAGAAAAAAAGAAAAAAAGAAGGCGGUAGAGAUAGCGGUCGUUGCUCGCCGCUUUCCGGAAGCCGCGUUAAUUCUCGCGAUUCCGUAUUUUUCCUCGUACGGUCGUUGCAUUCGCUCGAUCGGGGGUCAGCUUUGGUCGCGCAUCGAUACAUGGUGCAAUUAUACAAUCUCGUUAGCAUUCUUUCGCUCUGCUAUCGCAAUGAAAGGGAUCCAUUCAUCGCGAGAGCCACGCGCUUCUUGCGA